rnacentral:rRNA from 1 species
AACGAACGCUGGCGGCAUGCCUAACACAUGCAAGUCGAACUAGACCUUCGGGUCUAGUGGCGCACGGGUGCGUAACGCGUGGGAACCUGCCCUUAGGUUCGGAAUAACUCCCCGAAAGGGGUGCUAAUACCGGAUAAUGUCUUCGAACCAAAGAUUUAUCGCCUUUGGAUGGGCCCGCGUUGGAUUAGCUAGUUGGUAGGGUAAAAGCCUACCAAGGCGACGAUCCAUAGCUGGUCUGAGAGGAUGAUCAGCCACACUGGGACUGAGACACGGCCCAGACUCCUACGGGAGGAAGCAGUGGGGAAUAUUGGACAUUGGGCGAAAGCCUGAUCCAGCAAUGCCGCGUGAGUGAUGAAGGCCUUAGGGUUGUAAAGCUCUUUUACCCGGGAUGAUAAUGACAGUACCGGGAGAAUAAGCGCCGGCUAACUCCGUG